rnacentral:RNase_P_RNA from 1 species
UCGGGUGGUCGCUGUACAGCUUGUCUGCGCAGAGGAAAGUCCGGACAUCUCAAGGCAGCGUGCCCGGUGAAAGCCGGGGCAACCCUAGUCAGGUUGGGUUGACGGAAAGUGCCACAGAAAAGAAACCGCCCGCAAGGGUAAGGGUGAAAAGGUGGGGUAAGAGCCCACCGCUCCGAGGGUAACUGAGGAGGCAGGGUAAACCCCACGCGAUGCAAGACAAACAGGGGAAGGGUCGCCUGCCCGCUAUACCCCGGGUAAUAGUUGCACCCCGCAGGUCGGGGCACGGUCGAAAGGCCGCGAGAAAAAUGACCACACAGCCCCUCGGGGGUGGACAGAAUCCGGCUUACAG